rnacentral:rRNA from 1 species
UGGGCAACCUGCCCUCAGCUCUGGGAUAACCCCGGGAAACCGGGGCUAAUACCGGAUACGACCUCCGCGGGCAUCUGCGGAGGUGGAAAGGUUUUCCGGCUGAGGAUGGGCCCGCGGCCUAUCAGCUAGUUGGUGGGGUGAUGGCCCACCAAGGCGACGACGGGUAGCCGGCCUGAGAGGGCGACCGGCCACACUGGGACUGAGACACGGCCCAGACUCCUACGGGAGGCA